UACGUAGGGUGCAAGCGUUAAUCGGAAUUACUGGGCGUAAAGCGUGCGCAGGCGGUGAUGUAAGACAGAUGUGAAAUCCCCGGGCUCAACCUGGGAACUGCAUUUGUGACUGGCGUGCUGGAGUGUGGCAGAGGGAGGUGGAAUUCCACGUGUAGCAGUGAAAUGCGUAGAGAUGUGGAGGAACACCGAUGGCGAAGGCAGCCUCCUGGGCCAGCACUGACGCUCAUGCACGAAAGCGUGGGGAGCAAACAGG
rnacentral:rRNA from 1 species